ensembl:lncRNA
CUUCUCACCAUCCGGGAGCUGGCCGCCUCUGCUCUGACUUGAGCUCUGAGGAGCUCCUCCAGCUUCCGUCCAUCCUGCUUUCUUUCCCCAUCACCCCCGCCCCGCGUGUGUUACUGGAUGCCGCAGCGCUCUCAUCACCUCUCCCGUGGACCCACACGUGCAGGGGAGGCAGCCACGCUUCAUUUUUCCUGAAGCAGCUGGAAAGGCAGAGAAGUCCCCACGGAACACCAUCUCCUCUCUCCCUUGUUCGGUGGUUCAGUCAUGUCCAGCUCUCUGCCACCCCAUGGACUGUAGCCUGCCAGGCUCCUCUGUCUGUGGAAUUCUCCGGCCAAGAACAGUGGAGCUGGUUGCCAUGCCCUCCUCCGGGGGAUCUUCCUGACCCGGGUCUCCUGCAUUGGCGGGCGGAUUCUUUAUCACUGAGCCACCUGGGAAGCCUCCGUCUCUCUCACCACACGGGCUACAGACGCCUCAUUAUGGAGGUUUCCCAGGUUCCUUUUUCCAUGGAAUUUCCCAGGCAAGAAUACUGGAAUGAGUUGCCAUUUCCUAACUCCAGGGGAUCUUCCCGAACCAGGGAUGGAACCUGCAUCUCUCCAGUGUCCCUGCAUUGGCAAGAGGAUUCUUUACCACUAGUGCCAAUUGGGAAGCCCAAGGUACCUUGCACCCAAGCAACUCAAAAACAGGAAACAUGGAAAGACCACUUUGAAACAGAGUCAAAAACUCAGGGCUGCACUCGGAGGACUGUGGCGGUAGAGGCACACCCAGAGCUGUGGGACCAGAAGCCUCAAAGGAUAAGUGCAAAUUAGCAGGCUGUGGAUACGAAAGAAGAAAAGAUGCAGAAAGAGCUGAAAGCAAAGUUUUAAUUUGGCAAGAAAGCAGUGAUAUCUAAGAGACUAAAGGAGCAUCCUGAGAGGACCACGUGAACUGCUCACUUGUGGAUCUAAGAGGAGGCCCAGAGUGGGUGUGGCUGGUAUUGGAGGAGCCCAUGAGAUUGAAGACAAGACUGUCCUCAAAAAUCCAGGUGCUGGUUCUUCCCUGAUGGGCUUAAUGUGUAAGCAACAAUGGGUUACGACCUCAGAAACCUGGAGCAAUCAUUCUUUGCAGCUUCAGAAGUUCCCCCCAAUAAUGUGUGUGAUCCUUCCUAACCUUUAAUCACUUCCACCUGAAGAGACGAAGUUGUUUAUCAGAUCAGUAAUUUCGAGGAGCAUAGUUUGGUCAUGCUGACAUCAGCUCUUCUUUUCUUUCUUUUUUCCUCCUCCCUCCCUCAGUCUGACCUUGAUAGUCUUUGCCUUGCACGUCCAGUCUGGCAUGGACAUGGGGUGCUUGUAUGUUCCAUUCAGAGAGUCACUGAAUACGUCCAUCUGGCUCUGACGCUAAGCUCCAUCCUCUUCCUUAAGUUUUAUCCUUAAUCCAGGUGAUAAUUUGAACUCUACCAGCUUAAUUUUGUGCAAUAUUUUCUCAAUUUCCUCAGAACUUGGGUUUGGAAAAGGGGUGCUCUGUAUUAAGCCUGGCAAAUUCCCUGUAACUAACAUGGAUCUUGAUUUGCAGAUAAGACGAAUGGAUUUUUGUGAGAGAGACAAGCUUAACACGUUCACGGCAUUAAGGAAGAAAUGGAGCCAAUAUCUAGGCAAAGUCUGACUGGUUUUAUGCGUGCUCAGUUGGAUCUGACUCUUUGAGAUGCCAUGAACUGUAGCCCACCAGGCUCCUCUGUCUGUGGGAUUUCCCAGGCAGGAAUACUGGAGUGGGUUGCCAUUUCUUUCUUCAGGGGAUCUUCCAACCCAGGGACUGAACCCAGAUCUCCCUCACUGCAGGCAGAUUCUUUACUGUCUGAGCCACCAGGAAAACAUUUAUUUGGUGGCAAACAGAAAUGGGAUGAGUUAGGAGUCUCAAAACACUUUGCCCCUUUGAGAAAAGAGUAGCUGAAAAAGAGGAUGAGUGGAG